CACAAUCACUUGUCCCUUAAAUGAGGACCCGUAUGAAAGGCAACAUGAGAGAAGCCCUGUCUCAUAAGGCACGCCAAUGAAAUUGAACUACCAGUACAAAAGCUGGUAUAAACAAGCAAGACAAAAAGACCCUGUGGAACUUUAAUAAGCUGCCUACAUAAACUAGGCAGUAAUUUUAGUUGGGACAACUUUAGAAAAAAUAAACUUCUUAACCAACCAAGACAAACAAGUCUAAGCCCCCACCACGACCCAGCCAGACUGACUAACGAAACAAGCUACCCCAGGGAUAACAGCGCCACCUUCUAAAAGAGUCCAUAUCAACAAGAAGAUCUACGACCUCGAUGUUGGAUCAGGGUACCCAGACGGUGCAGAAGCUGUCAAUGGUUCGUUUGUUCAACGACUAACACCCU
rnacentral:rRNA from 1 species